rnacentral:rRNA from 1 species
GUCUAUUGCCAUGCCAGCCUGAAUGUGCCUGAUCUUGUCUGAUAUCAGAAGCUAAGCAAAGUCAGGUCCGGUUAGUACUUGGAUGGGUGACCACCUAGGAAUACCAGGUGCUGUAAGCA